GGGAUGCGUUCCAUUAGGCAGUUGGUGAGGUAACGGCUCACCAAACCUUCGAUGGAUAGGGGUUCUGAGAGGAAGGUCCCCCACAUUGGAACUGAGACACGGUCCAAACUCCUACGGGAGGCAGCAGUGAGGAAUAUUGGUCAAUGGGCGCAGGCCUGAACCAGCCAAGUAGCGUGAAGGAUGACUGCCCUAUGGGUUGUAAACUUCUUUUAUAUGGGAAUAAAGUUUUCCACGUGUGGAAUUUUGUAUGUACCAUAUGAAUAAGGAUCGGCUAACUCCGUGCCAGCAGCCGCGGUAAUACGGAGGAUCCGAGCGUUAUCCGGAUUUAUUGGGUUUAAAGGGAGCGUAGGUGGACAGUUAAGUCAGUUGUGAAAGUUUGCGGCUCAACCGUAAAAUUGCAGUUGAUACUGGCUGUCUUGAGUACAGUAGAGGUGGGCGGAAUUCGUGGUGUAGCGGUGAAAUGCUUAGAUAUCACGAAGAACUCCGAUUGCGAAGGCAGCUCACUGGACUGCAACUGACACUGAUGCUCGAAAGUGUGGGUAUCAAACAGGAUUAGAUACCCUGGUAGUCCACACAGUAAACGAUGAAUACUCGCUGUUUGCGAUAUACAGUAAGCGGCCAAGCGAAAGCAUUAAGUAUUCCACCUGGGGAGUACGCCGGCAACGGUGAAACUCAAAGGAAUUGACGGGGGCCCGCACAAGCGGAGGAACAUGUGGUUUAAUUCGAUGAUACGCGAGGAACCUUACCCGGGCUUAAAUUGCAUUUGAAUAUAUUGGAAACAGUAUAGCCGUAAGGCAAAUGUGAAGGUGCUGCAUGGUUGUCGUCAGCUCGUGCCGUGAGGUGUCGGCUUAAGUGCCAUAACGAGCGCAACCCUUAUCUUUAGUUACUAACAGGUCAUGCUGAGGACUCUAGAGAGACUGCCGUCGUAAGAUGUGAGGAAGGUGGGGAUGACGUCAAAUCAGCACGGCCCUUACGUCCGGGGCUACACACGUGUUACAAUGGGGGG
rnacentral:rRNA from 1 species